rnacentral:rRNA from 1 species
GAGCUUGCUCCUUGAUUUAGCGGCGGACGGGUGAGUAAUGCCUAGGAAUCUGCCUGGUAGUGGGGGAUAACGUUCCGAAAGGAACGCUAAUACCGCAUACGUCCUACGGGAGAAAGCAGGGGACCUUCGGGCCUUGCGCUAUCAGAUGAGCCUAGGUCGGAUUAGCUAGUUGGUGAGGUAAUGGCUCACCAAGGCGACGAUCCGUAACUGGUCUGAGAGGAUGAUCAGUCACACUGGAACUGAGACACGGUCCAGACUCCUACGGGAGGCAGCAGUGGGGAAUAUUGGACAAUGGGCGAAAGCCUGAUCCAGCCAUGCCGCGUGUGUGAAGAAGGUCUUCGGAUUGUAAAGCACUUUAAGUUGGGAGGAAGGGCAUUAACCUAAUACGUUAGUGUUUUGACGUUACCGACAGAAUAAGCACCGGCUAACUUCGUGCCAGCAGCCGCGGUAAUACGAAGGGUGCAAGCGUUAAUCGGAAUUACUGGGCGUAAAGCGCGCGUAGGUGGUUCGUUAAGUUGGAUGUGAAAGCCCCGGGCUCAACCUGGGAACUGCAUCCAAAACUGGCGAGCUAGAGUACGGUAGAGGGUGGUGGAAUUUCCUGUGUAGCGGUGAAAUGCGUAGAUAUAGGAAGGAACACCAGUGGCGAAGGCGACCACCUGGACUGAUACUGACACUGAGGUGCGAAAGCGUGGGGAGCAAACAGGAUUAGAUACCCUGGUAGUCCACGCCGUAAACGAUGUCAACUAGCCGUUGGGUUCCUUGAGAACUUAGUGGCGCAGCUAACGCAUUAAGUUGACCGCCUGGGGAGUACGGCCGCAAGGUUAAAACUCAAAUGAAUUGACGGGGGCCCGCACAAGC